rnacentral:piRNA from 1 species
UGCUUUGCUCUGUACCUGGCUGCCAC